GACGAACGCUGGCGGCGUGCCUAAUACAUGCAAGUAGAACGCUGAAGGAGGAGCUUGCUUCUCUGGAUGAGUUGCGAACGGGUGAGUAACGCGUAGGUAACCUGCCUGGUAGCGGGGGAUAACUAUUGGAAACGAUAGCUAAUACCGCAUAGUAGUAGAUGUUGCAUGACAUUUGCUUAAAAGGUGCAAUUGCAUCACUACCAGAUGGACCUGCGUUGUAUUAGCUAGUUGGUGAGGUAACGGCGCACCAAGGCAACGAUACAUAGCCGACCUGAGAGGGGGAUCGGCCACACUGGGACUGAGACACGGCCCAGACUCCUACGGGAGGCAGCAGUAGGGAAUCUUGGGCAAUGGACGGAAGACUGACCGAGAAACGCCGAGUGAGUGAAGAAGGUUUUCGGAUCGUAAAGCUCUGUUGUAAGAGAAGAACGAGUGUGAGAGUGGAAAGUUGACACUGUGACGGUAUCUUACCAGAAAGGGACGGCUAACUACGUG
rnacentral:rRNA from 1 species